GAUGAACGCUAGCGGCAGGCCUAACACAUGCCAGUCGAGGGAGAAGCCCUUUCGGGGGCAGAAACCGGCGCACGGGUGCGUAACGCGUAUGCAACCUACCUUUCACAGGGGGAUAGCCCGAAGAAAUUUGGAUUAAUACCCCAUAAUAUUAUUGGAUGGCAUCAUUUGAUAAUUAAAACUGCGGUGGUGAAAGAUGGGCAUGCGUCCUAUUAGCUAGUUGGAGUGGUAACGGCACCCCAAGGCUACGAUAGGUAGGGGUCCUGAGAGGGAGAUCCCCCACACUGGUACUGAGACAGGGACCAGACUCCUACGGGAGGCAGCAGUGAGGAAUAUUGGUCAAUGGUCGGAAGACUGAACCAGCCAUGCCGCGUGCAGGAAGAAUGCCUUAUGGGUUGUAAACUGCUUUUAUAUGGGAAGAAUAAGGCGUACGUGUACGUUGAUGACGGUACCAUAUGAAUAAGCAUCGACUAACUCCGUG
rnacentral:rRNA from 1 species